AUUGAACGCUGGCGGCAUGCCUAACACAUGCAAGUCGAACGGGUGGCGGACGGGUGGGUAAUGUAGGGGAAACUGCCUGACGGAGGCGGAUAACUACUGGAAAAGGUAGCUAAUACCGCAUACCAUGAGUUGUGCCCAGGCGGGAGUAGCUAGCUGCGGUGGUAACGCCUCACCAAGUCGACGAUCCCUAGCAGGUCUGAGAGGAUGACCAGCCACACUGAAACUGGGACACGGUCCAGACUCCUACGGGAGGCAGCAGUGGGGAAUAUUGCACAAUGGGCGCAAGUCUGAUGCAGCCAUGCCGCGUGUAUGAAGAAGGCCUUCGGGUUGUAAAGUACUUUCAGCGGGGAGGCGUUACCCGCAGAAAAAGCACCGGCUAACUCCGUGCCAGCAGCCGCGGUAAUUC
rnacentral:rRNA from 1 species